rnacentral:rRNA from 1 species
GACGAACGCUGGCGGCGUGCUUAACACAUGCAAGUCGAACGGAAAGGCCCUGCUUUUGUGGGGUGCUCGAGUGGCGAACGGGUGAGUAACACGUGAGUAACCUGCCCUUGACUUUGGGAUAACUUCAGGAAACUGGGGCUAAUACCGGAUAGGAGCUCCUGCUGCAUGGUGGGGGUUGGAACGUUUCGGCGGUUGGGGAUGGACUCGCGGCUUAUCAGCUUGUUGGUGGGGUAGUGGCUUACCAAGGCUUUGACGGGUAGCCGGCCUGAGAGGGUGACCGGCCACAAGGGGACUGAGAUACGGACCAGACGGCUACGGGAGGCAGCAGGGGGGAAUAUUGCACAAUGGGAGGAAGCCUGAGGCAGCAACGCCGCGUGCGGGAUGACGGCCUUCGGGUUGUAAACCGCUGUCGCCUGUGACGAAGCGGGAGUGACGGUAAUGGGUAAAGAAGCACCGGCUAACUACGUG